GGCCUCGUGCCUCAGCCGGUAGAGCCCACGUGGUAUCAACGUGUGGGCAGAGUCCUUACGUGGGUUCAAGUCCCGCCGGGGUCA
rnacentral:tRNA from 1 species